CAAAAUCUUCAUUUUUCAUAAGAUUCUACAAUGAUUUAUAAUGAACAUUUAGGCUUGAGAACCCUGCUGUAAAAACCCAAACAUGAUGUGUCAGAGUUGUAGAUGUUAAUUUCUGUCAAAUCCGUUUGCUAAUCUUAACUAUUUGCAUAAUCCAUUUAAUAAUAUCCUUUUAUUAUCUUAGAAUCUUUAGGAGAGUGCUAUUAAAUUAUCUUGGCCUAGUCUCAUAAGGACAGAAGAAAAUUAAGCUAUGCAUGUUCAACUGCUUUGGGUCAGAGUGACAAAACUGAGAUAAAUGUUAUUAGAAACCACUAUGGUAAGAAACAGGAGCUUUAAUAGUCGGUGUUAACUGCCAAAACUGCAGGAGUUAAUGAGAUGCUGCAUGGUCAGGACCCAUAGCUAUAUAGAAUAGAAAGCAUCUUAAGAUCAAAGGUAGUUGCACAGACAGAGAUCUGCAUUGACUUGAUACUGUGCUGUAUUAAUCUUGAUAUCUUUGUUCCUUGCACACUGCCAUAGUGCCUGUUGUUGGGACUGGAUAAAUGUUUGUUGAAUUAAGCUGAAAUAUGGUGACUAAAAGCUCUUGACAUGAUAUAUUAUUUCAUAUUUUAUUCAUUUUAUUCUUUAGUGGAAUUAUAUUAAAUCUACAUGUCUGAGUCUUUUACAAAUUGAUUUUUAUUCAACUCUCUGAAGGUUUACACAAUAAGCCUAUGUUCUUAUAAUAAAGCAGCCCUAAAAUAUUACAUUAUUUAUUAUGAUAGAACAAGCUCAAUUGUCCAACAUCUUAUUUCUUCUACAUGUUAACUCCACUUACGUGUUUAAAAUAUCUAACCACUAGGUGUCGUUUAUCCGGAUGCUGCAUGAUUAAGACCACCAUACUCUUAUCAAGCAUACAGGUGUUAAUGUCUAUUUUAAAGAGGAGAGAACUCAAGAAGUUCUGUAGAAACUGCUUUCUUCAUCAUAUCUCAAAGGAUUUGCUGAGGAUUUCAGAGGUGCCACGAGUUGAGAGAAGUGAGCCAAAAAAACUCAUCUGAAGUGUUUGGACAGAUGAAAUCAAUGGCUGCUGAUUAAAUGAGAGGCACACAGACUUCGGACAUUUCACUUAAUGCUGAAAAUUCACUCUACUGCCACUACUCAGGACUUCUGAUGGGCAUGAAAAUCCAAGCCUGCUUUAUGAUAUUAACCUCUGAAUUUCAUAAACCGCUUAAAACUUUAGAAUGUCCAGAAAACACUGGUAGAAUACGGACACAUGAGACAAGGCCAGAAAGGAAGUCAAUAAAAUGUGAUUACUAAGCAAAUUACCACCAGAGAAGCAGAAGGAAAUCCCUCUUCAAUAUUUUGAGAGACAGUAAAGAACAUUCCCUGGAGUUAGGACAAAUGAAGAGCAAGAAGUUUCAUCUUGCUCUGUCAUCCAGGCUGGAGUGCAGGGGCACCAUCUCGGCUCACUGAAACCUCCACUUCCCGGGUUCAAGCGAUUCUCCUGCCUCAGCCUCCUGAGUAACUGGGGUUACAGAGUGAAUAGACAACCUACAGAAUGGGAGAAAAUACUUGCAAGCUAUGUAUCCAACAAAGGACUAAUAUCGAGAAUUUACAAGGAACUCAAACAAAACUCAACAAGAGUAAAACAACCCCAAUAAAAAGUGAGUAAAAGACAUGGAGAGAGAUUUUUCGAAAGAAGACAUACAAAUGGCAAUCAAAAGGCAAAGAGGCAUAUGAAAAAAUGUUCACCAUCACUAAUCACCAGAGAAAUGCAAAUUAAGUGUAAUGAGAUACAACCUUACAUCUGACAAAGUGGUUAUUACUCAAAAAAAAAAAACAAAAAAAACAAAACAAAAAAAACAGAUAUUGGCAAGAAUGCAGAAAAAUGGGAAAACUUUUACACUGUUGGUGGUAAUGUAAAUUAGUAUAAACCUUAUGAAAAACAGUAUGGAGAUUUCUCAAAGAAUUUAAAGUAGAACCAGCAUUUGAUCCAACAAUCCUACCACUGGAUAUCUAUCCAAAGGGAAAGAAAUUAUUAUAUCAAAAAGAUAUUUGCAUUUGUAUAUUUAUCACAGCACUAUUCACAGUAACAAACAUAUGGAAUCAACCUAAGUGUCCACCAACAGAUGAUUGGAUAAAGAAAAUAUUAUAUAUAAUAUAUA
rnacentral:lncRNA from 1 species